AAGGAUCAUUACCGAGUGUUGGGCCUAACGGUCCGCCUCCCACCCUUUGUGUAUUUACCUGUUGCUUCGGCGGGACGUUCCUUUUAUGGACCGUCGGCUAUGCGGGCGUGUUCCCGCCGAAGGAUACCAAAACUCUUGUCUAUAUUGUCUGAGUAAAAUUUAAAAGUUAAAACUUUCAACAACGGAUCUCUUGGUUCUG
rnacentral:misc_RNA from 1 species